rnacentral:rRNA from 1 species
AACGAACGCUGGCGGCAUGCCUAACACAUGCAAGUCGAACGAGACCUCCGGGUCUAGCGGCGCACGGGUGCGUAACGCGUGGGAACCUGCCCUUAGGUUCGCACUAACUCCCCGAAUGGGAUUCCAAUACCGGUUCAUGUCUUGGGACCAAAGAUUUAUCGCCUUUGGAUGGGCCCGCGUGGGAUUAGCUAGUUGGUAGGGUAAAAGCCUACCAAGGCGACGAUCCAUAGCUGGCCUGAGAGGAUGAGCAGCCACACUGGUACUGAGACACGGCCCAGACUCCUACGGGAGGCAGCAGUGGGGAAUAUUGGAAAAUGGGCGAAGGCCUGAUCCAGCAAUGCCGGGUGAGUGAUGAAGGCCUUAGGGUUGUAAAGCUCUUUUACCCGGGAUGAUAAUGACGGUACCGGGAGAAUAAGCACCGGCUAACUACGUG